rnacentral:snRNA from 1 species
AUCGCUUCUCAACCUUUUGGCUAAGAUCAAGUGUAGUGUCUGUUCUUAUCAGAUAUCUGUUCUUAUCUGAUACAUCCUCCUAUCCGAGGACAAUCUAUUAAGUGGAUAUAUAUACAUAAAUAUAUGUAAUUCAAACUCCAU